CUCUGGGGCCGGGGGAGGGGGGCGCAGGGCGUCUGGCUGCUGCCGUCUUCUUCCUCCUGGAGACUUCAUCCUGCGGAACCCACCCCUCGCUCCGUCCCGCUAAGUGAGCCUGUAGCGACUGUGGGUUGUUCAUGCCACCGGGACAGCCAGUGCCAAAUGUUCUCGGCCCCACGCGGGACCUCCCGAGGGAGAGGCCCUCCUGUGGGGUCAGACUGAGCAAAUGACGUAGAAUUUGGGAGAAAAUAAGCUCUCCCAGUCCUGUUUCCCCCUCAUCUAACUGGAGUUUUGAUUUCCUGUCAGGUUAAACAUCGUGGUUUUUGCACGUGGUGAAGGAAUUCACCCGUGUAAGUUCACGCAUACUUGGAUGAACUGGUCCCGCCCGCUUGCCCUUGGGCGUUUUCUGGAUUGCUCCUUUCCCGGUUUAGAAGGACCCUUCUCCCUCUGGUUAACGCGAACCCCAUCGAAGCCUCAGCUCGCACUUUCUCUUAAGCAGAAAGGGGAGUUCCCAGCCAGCCGUGCUGCUUUUAUUUAUAGCACUUGAUUUCCUGAGAGGAGUCAGGGAACGUCCGUCCUCCCCUGGCCCCUCGGGCUCCUCCUCUGCCCUCGGUCCCCCAGCUGCGGGCGGGCGGGGGCGGCGUGGGGGCUGGACGGGGACCCCCGUGCCAGGUGCUCGCAGCAAACGCGAGAUCAGAGGAGGAAUUAUGUCAUUCCCGGGCAGGAAUGCCUCCAGCGUGCUCCUGCGUGUGUCUGACUGACAGCACCACACAGGCUCCGGCGCCUAUAAAGGAGCCCCGCGCCCGCUCCUCGCAGCGCAGCGUGGGGCCGGGUCUCCCUCCUGGACGGUGCUCCGGGCUGCGAGGAGCCAGCCCCACGGGGUCUCCACGUUGCAGGGUUUUCACUGGAGGGAAGCAGGAUGCUGUGGCCUCUGCUGCUGCUGGCCUCGGGGGCCUGGUCUAGCGCUCGGGCUGGUGACCAGGACGAGGACACCGCCUUUGACCUCUUCAGCGUCAGCAACAUCAACAGGAAGACCAUCGGGGCCAAGCAGUUCCGGGGCCCGGACCCCAGCGUGCCCGCCUACCGCUUCGUGCGCUUCGACUACAUCCCGCCGGUGGGCGCGGAGCCUCUGGGCCGGAUCGCCGAGGCCAUGCGGCGGAAGGAGGGCUUCUUCCUGACGGCCAGCCUGAAGCAGGACCGCAAGUCGCGGGGCACGCUCCUGGCGCUGGAGGGCCCGGGGGCCACGCGCAGGCAGUUCGAGAUCGUCUCCAACGGCCCCGCCGACACGCUGGACCUGACCUACUGGGUGGACGGCGCCCAGCACGUCAUCUCCCUGGAGGACGUGGGCCUGGCCGACGCCCAGUGGAAGAACGUCACGGUGCAGGUGACCGGGGAGACCUACAGCCUGUACGUGGGCUGCGACCUGAUGGACAGCUUCACGCUGGACGAGCCUUUCUACGAGCAGCUGAAGACCGAGCAGAGCCGGAUGUACGUGGCCAAGGGCUCCGCCCGCGAGAGCCACUUCAGGGGUUUGCUGCAGAAUGUCUUCUUAGUUUUUGAAAACUCCGUGGAAGAUCUUCUAAGCAAGAAGGGCUGUCGGCAAAGCCAGGGAGCCGAAGCCAACGCCAUCAGUGAGAACACAGAGACGCUCCACCUGAGCCCCCCGGUCUCCACGGGGCACGUGGGCCUGGGCGCGGAGAAGGGCCGGGAGGUGUGCGAGCACUCCUGCGAGGAGCUGGGCAGCAUGAUCCAGGAGCUGUCGGGGCUGCACGUCAUCGUGAGCCAGCUCCACGAGAACCUGCGCAAAGUGUCAAACGACAACCAGUUUCUCUGGGAGCUCAUUGGCGGGCCCCCCAAGACCAGGAACGUGUCCGCCUGCUGGCAGGACGGCCGCUUCUUCGCCGAGAACGAGACCUGGGUGGUGGACAGCUGCACCAAAUGCACCUGCAGGAAGUUCAAAACUGUUUGCCACCAAAUCACCUGCCCGCCAGCGACAUGUGCCGACCCGGCCUUCGUGGACGGCGAGUGCUGCCCAUCCUGCUUCUCGGACGGCGAGGAGGGCUGGUCCCCGUGGGCGGAGUGGACGGAGUGCUCUGCCACCUGUGGGCCCGGCACCCAGCAGAGGGGGCGGUCCUGCGACGUGACCAGCAACACCUGCCUGGGGCCGUCCAUCCAGACGCGGGCGUGCAGCCUGGGCAAGUGCGACCACCGCAUCCGGCAGGACGGCGGCUGGAGCCACUGGUCUCCUUGGUCCUCCUGCUCCGUGACCUGCGGGGUCGGCAACAUCACGCGCAUCCGUCUCUGCAACUCGCCGGUGCCGCAGAUGGGCGGGCGGGGCUGCAAGGGGAGCGGCCGCGAGACCAGGGCCUGCCAGGGCCCACCCUGCCCCGUGGAUGGUCGGUGGAGCCCCUGGUCCCCGUGGUCGGCCUGCACGGUCACCUGUGCCGGCGGCAUCCGGGAGCGGACGCGUGUCUGCAACAGCCCGGAGCCGCAGCACGGUGGCAAGGACUGCGUGGGGGACGUGAAGGAGCAGCAGAUGUGCAACAAGAGGAGCUGCCCAGUAGACGGCUGUUUGUCCAACCCCUGCUUCCCCGGGGCCUCGUGCAGCAGUUUCCCCGACGGGUCCUGGUCCUGCGGCUCCUGCCCCGUGGGCUUCCUGGGCAACGGCACCCACUGCGAGGACCUGGACGAGUGCGCCGUGGUCACGGACGUGUGCUUCACGACCAGCAAGGCGCACCGCUGCGUCAACACCGACCCCGGCUUCCACUGCCUGCCCUGCCCCCCGCGCUACAAGGGGAGCCAGCCCUUCGGCGUCGGCCUGGAGGCGGCCAGGACCGAGAAGCAGGUGUGUGAGCCUGAAAACCCCUGCGAGGACAAGACCCACAACUGCCACAGGCAUGCUGAGUGUGUCUACCUGGGCCACUUCAGCGACCCCAUGUUCAAGUGCGAGUGCCGGACGGGCUACGCGGGUGACGGGCUCAUCUGUGGGGAAGAUUCGGACCUGGACGGCUGGCCCAACAAGAACCUGGUCUGCGCCACCAACGCCACCUACCACUGCAUCAAGGACAACUGCCCGCUCCUGCCUAACUCUGGGCAAGAGGACUUUGACAAGGACGGCACUGGGGACGCCUGUGACGACGACGACGACAACGACGGCGUCAGUGAUGAGAAGGACAACUGCCAGCUUCUCUUCAACCCCCGUCAGUUUGACUACGACAAAGACGAGGUUGGGGACCGCUGCGACAACUGCCCCUACGUGCACAACCCCGCACAGAUCGACACCGACAGCAACGGGGAGGGCGAUGCCUGCUCCGUGGACAUCGACGGCGACGAUGUCUUCAACGAGCGAGACAACUGUCCCUACGUCUACAACACCGACCAGAGAGACACGGACGGCGACGGCGUGGGCGACCACUGCGACAACUGCCCCCUGGUGCACAAUCCCGACCAGACGGACGUGGACAACGACCUCGUGGGAGACCAGUGUGACAACAAUGAGGACGUCGACGAGGACGGCCACCAGAACAACCAGGACAACUGUCCCUACAUCUCCAACGCCAACCAGGCCGACCACGACCACGACGGCAAGGGCGACGCCUGCGACUCGGAUGACGACAACGAUGGGGUCCCGGAUGACAGGGACAACUGCCGGCUAGUCGCCAACCCCGACCAGGAGGACUCGGACGGUGGGUGCUGCCCAGGCCACGUGCAGAGCCUCAGCCCGUGGGGGGGGGGGUCCGCAGGGGGCUCGGCCUCUCCUGCCAGAGCCUCAGGCUGCACUACGGUGCAGAGCUGUGCACGGGGGCGGUUUGCAUGUCCCCUGGCUUCUGCUCGCACGCCCGGGGGACGUGGUUUCCAGGGUGCAGACCUGGCUGACCAGGUGCCGCGUGGAGGAUGCACGCCCACCGUGGACGAGGUGGGGACCUGGGGUUUGAGCCAGUGGGACCCACGGACUCACGGAGGACUCACUGAUCUGAAGCGCAGCUCCAAGGACCCCCCUCCCGCCCCCCGCCUCACCCCCAGCAGCAUGGGGCUCAUUCUAGACAUGAGAAUGGAUGGUCCUGGCCUGCAGCCGCUGGGCCCGGGAGGGGCUUGCAGGGCGACAGGCAGCCUUUCACGGGAAGCAGGGGUGGGGCUGGGGUGGAGGCCAGGCUGGCGCACGGGGCAUGUUCGUGGUUUGGAGGCACCUCACACGGGGGCCUGUCACACGGCAGUCGGGGGGUGGGGGGGCGCGUGUCAGGCUCGAGCGCCGAGAAGUCGUUUGAAGGCUGUGAUGGGAGUCAGGUUGAACGCGGAGGCGUUUCUCCUUCUGAAGCAGUGGGCGCCAAGUGGGCUAGUUUGGCCGGUGGCGUCUGCCUGUGGGAGCGCCAGCAUCUCCAGGAGCCGCAGGGCCCGGAAGGUCUCGGGGGCGUCUCUCCAGGUGCGGGCUGGUCCCCGCCUCGCUGGCACUUGGACGAGGUGCUCCCCCAAUGAAGUCUGUUUUCGAGAAAGUGGCUGCUUUAAACAGACCGCAGGGGGGACUAGGGUGAUGCUCGCAGUUCCGAGAAUGAGCAGGGCAGGAUCUGGAAGUUCAGCCUCAUGGUGCUCGGCAGCGUCCGGUUUUGGUCCCUGAUUUCACCUUCAGGAGGAAGCGAGGUGACUCGACAGGAGCUUGGGUGGCGGGCGUUGCUACGGGACGUGUCACAGCGAUGUUUUCCAAAGCGUCCAGACGCUUCCCAGCGUUCGGGCCAAGCGCCAGAGGUCAUGACACACAGCCAAGCUCUUACCCCCGUUUUCAGAGAAUCGCCUCCGGCUCCCUCAGACACAGAAAGGCAGGUGGCACACUGUUCCUUGGCCUUUUCUCUGCUUGUCCUUGGUGACAGGUGAUGGGCGUGGCGACGCUUGUAAAGACGACUUUGACAACGACAGCAUCCCGGACAUUGACGACGUGUGUCCCGAGAACAACGCCAUCAGCGAGACGGACUUCCGCAACUUCCAGAUGGUGCCCCUGGACCCCAAGGGCACCACGCAGAUCGAUCCCAACUGGGUCAUUCGCCACCAAGGCAAGGAGCUGGUGCAGACGGCCAACUCCGACCCCGGCAUCGCUGUGGGUUUUGACGAGUUUGGGUCCGUGGACUUCAGCGGCACCUUCUACGUCAACACGGACCGGGACGACGACUACGCCGGCUUCGUCUUUGGCUACCAGUCCAGCAGCCGCUUCUACGUGGUGAUGUGGAAGCAGGUGACGCAGACCUACUGGGAGGACCAGCCCACGCGGGCCUACGGCUACUCCGGGGUGUCGCUCAAGGUGGUAAACUCCACCACGGGCACCGGCGAGCACCUGCGCAACGCCCUGUGGCACACAGGGAACACGGAGGGGCAGGUUCGUACCCUGUGGCACGACCCCAAAAAUAUUGGCUGGAAGGACUACACUGCCUACCGGUGGCACCUGACCCACAGGCCUAAGACGGGCUACAUAAGAGUCUUAGUGCACGAGGGAAAACAGGUGAUGGCCGAUUCGGGACCCAUCUACGACCAGACCUACGCGGGCGGGCGCCUGGGCCUGUUCGUCUUCUCUCAAGAAAUGGUCUACUUCUCGGACCUCAAAUACGAAUGCAGAGAUAUCUAAACCAGAUUUGCUGUGUUUCCAGCAAAGUACUGUAGAAGCGGUCAUCCAGACAGCUCAGUCCAUCCCGGUGCUCACGGCUUCUCUCUCUAGCAGCACCUCUGUUCUCGACCCCUCACUCUGAGCGGUUCUCCACCUCCUGCCACCAGCCCAAGCCCAAGCGCCUUCAGAGGAUGAAUGUUAAUGGAGCCAGACACACAUCCAGCUCCACUGCAGGAAGACCGGCGCGGUGACACCUGAGACUUUACGUGGAGUGAAAAUUGAGCAUGAUAUUAUGUUUGUUGUUUGUUUAAAAAGAAUGACGUUUACAUAUGAAAUGUAAGUACUUAUUGUAUUUAUGUGUAUAUGGAGGUGAAGGGGAUUUUGUGCAUAAGCCGUUAUCAUAAAUUAAGCAGGAAAAUUAUGGCUACACUGCUUUCAGUGCUUUCAGUUGGGUGGGCGAGCACCCAGAUCCUGUUAGGUCGAUUAUAAAGAAGGGUCAGCUCAAGUGGGAGGUAGCGCCGUCGUAAGACGGAGGUCAGAGGGUGAUGUGGACGUGAUAACUGCCUGGAACGUGAGAACGGAUCCCAGCAGUGAAAGAGCCCCUCCCCACUCUCCUGUCCCGCAGUGGGAGCCCCAGGGGCGCAGUUCUAUCCAGGAAGGAAUGUCUUUGCAAAGGGCUCAUUUCUGCAAAGACGCAGGACGGGGAGGGUGGCCCUUCGAGGCGGGGCGGACCUGGGAGAAUCCUCGGCACUUGCCUCUGCAUUCUGGUCACCAGAAUCCUUGCUGGAGCGUCUCCUGUGGGCCCGCCGCUGGGGGAGCGCCAGCUGAAAAGCAAAUGGGCGACCGCACCUUGGCAUCUCACCCCAUCCCAGAGGCCUUGACACCUCAGACAGGUGGCUUUUACCUAACUUGGUAACACAUUUCAUUAAGGUUCCGGUCAUAAAUGCUGUGUUAAUAUUUAUUGAAUGAAUGCAGAAUGAAGUUCCAUUCACCAGUAACUUAUUUUAAAUAAGCCAAGUAGCCCCAUGUAGUAUAAUUUCUAGACGUAAACAUAUAACUAGUAUAUAAGACACAGUUACAGCAAAUAUCUUCCUGCGAAAAUACACGGCUUGAUAAUACUACGUUGCCAUCUUAACGCGUAUGCUACCCAGUGUGAUGGACUAAAUAAAUACUAAUGAAGAGUUGACCAUGGAACCUUAAUACAUUCUGUUGCCGGUGACUUUCAUCCUUUCUUGUGGUCAUCUAUCUAUCUGCUGUGCGUAGGAUCUUAGGACACUGGAUCCUGCCGACCCGUCUGAGCAGACACAGCCAUUGAUCCGUCAUCAGUAGCGCACACACGUUUGGUUUUGUUGUUGCUGUGAGUUGCGUGCUCUUUGCGCAGGAAACACUCGUUAGUCUCACUGCAGGCGGGGACUCGGGAAGAAGACUUUGUCGGUCCUCCCGCGAGAAGGAUCUCACUCCACUGCCGGGGAGAGGGCCACGACCCGUCUUUCCUCGCGCCGCCCGUCUCCUAAAGGCAUGUUUGUUGCUUCCUCUGAGGUGGAUUUUCCUUUUGUUUUGCUGCACUUUCUACCUGUCUUGGUGGAGCUGUAUCCCCAAGACCAGGAAGGGUUGGGAAACGUCAUUAAAUGGAAGUUGUGACGAGCGCGUAGGUUUUCUGUGAUGUUUGGGGGACCACGGCGCUGUGGGAUGGUUAUGUGAAUAUUUAGAAUGUGCCAUGUGGUUUUUUGUAAAUUAUUUAUGUUUUUUUUAAAAACAAACUUCUGGUACAGACGGAUGAAACUUCUUUUGUUUUGCCAAAGACUGUAAAUAUUUAUUUAUUUGUUCACAUGGUCAAAAUUUCACCACUGAAUCCCUGCAUUUAGCUAGAGCCUCAUUUUUCUAAAGAUUAAUAACAGGAAAUAAAUUGUACAAAGGUUUUCUCUA